UAUUCUGAGAAGCAGAGUUGAGAAAGGGGGGAAAGAAACGAGAGAGAGAGAGGGGGUCUGCGGAGUAACGCAGCCAAAACAUCCAUGGGUGGUUGUGUAGGCAGUCACCACGAUUCUUCAGGCAGUUUAAACGAAAAUUCGGAUGGGACCGGAGUGGCUCUUGGGCGUAACCAGGUGCUGAAGAGGGACAAGCCCAAAUGGAAGAGUGACUACCCGAUGACGGCGGGGCAGCUGCGCAGCAAGAGGGAUGAGUUCUGGGACACGGCGCCGGCUUUCGAGGGCAGGAAGGAGAUCUGGGACGCCCUCCGGGCCGCGGCGCUCGCCUUCGAGAGCAACGACCACGAGCUGGCCCAGGCCAUCAUCGACGGGGCCAGCAUCACGCUGCCGCACGGUGCGUUGACGGAAUGCUAUGACGAACUGGGGAACCGCUACCAGCUCCCCGCUUACUGUCUGGCCCCGCCCAUCAACAUGAUCGAGGAGCGCAGUGACAGCGACAGCCAGGACUUCCUGCCCGAGCCGGCGGGCGGCGGCGGCGGGAGCGAGGGGACGGAAUCCCAGCUCCGCUUGCGCCUGUCGACGGGGCGUGACCUGCGCCUGGCCGUGCGCUCCUGCGACAGUGUGCUCCACAUGAAGCUCCGCCUGCAGGCGCAGGAGGGCGUGGCGGCGGCAGCCCAGCGCUGGUUCUUCUCAGGACGGCCCCUGACCGACCGCCUCCGCCUAGACGAGCUCAAGAUUUCACGAGACUACGUGGUGCAGGUCAUUGUGAGCCAGCCGCCACAGCCGGAGCCGGAACCUGCCGGCACGGAUGGACACACGCCUGAACACACACCUUUACACGUAGCGGCCCUGGUCUCUCCAGCUGUGCCAACUCAACCACAGGACCCCACACCUGUGGAGAACUAGGUCUGUCCCACACACACCAGGAGAACACACACACACCUGCAGAACACACACACAUCAGCAGAACACACACACGCACCUGCAGAACACACACACACACCAGGAGAAAACACACAUACACCUGGAGAACACACACACACCUGGAGAACACACUGGCACACUAUGAGAACACACACUCUUGGAGACGACACACACACACCUGGAAAACACCUGGAGAACCCACACCUGGAGAACACCUGGAGAACACACACACACCUCGAGCCAACAGAUUUCAUAGACAUGGAUUACAGACACAGCGGGAGUCUGUGUCCAUCUCUUCUUCUUGUUGGCAAGGCAUGCUGGGAUAUCAAGGGGCGUGACUGUUGAGCAAAGGACUCUGGGAGACAAUAAGGAGCGGGAAGAGACUCUGUCAUAGCAACACCUCCCUGGCAACCCUUGUUUUUAAGCUUUUACUAAUUUCUUGAUAUAUAAAAAAUAUUUCUGGAUUUGGUGGAAACUGAACAACCAAAAAAAUAUUUAAAUGAAAACAGAAAAUACAGGUUUAUAAUUUACACCCCCCUCAAGGACAGUGGUCUGGUUCUAGAACCUUCAGAAAGACUGGAAGGCAGUGUUCUAGAACACUCAGAAUGGAGGGCAGUGUUCUAGAACCAUCUAAAAGAAUGAAGGGUGGUGUUCUAGAACCCUCUGAAAGACUGGAGAGCAGUGUUCUAGAACACUAUAAGAAUGGUCGGCAGUGUUCUAAAACCCUCUAAAAGAAUGAAAGGCAGUGUUCUAAAACCAUCUAUAAGUUCGGAGGGCAGUGUUCUAGAACUUUAUGAAGGACUACACGGCCAUGUUCUAGAACUCUCUGAAGGACUGGAGAGCAGGGUUCUAGAACCCCUGCAGCUCCAUCUCGGCAGAUCCGCUCUCGCGUGGACAUUCUACUAGUCACCUCACACACCUCACACACCUUUAGACCAAUCAGAUGUUUUGUUUGGACCCUGUCAGAGGUUAGGGUUCUUGGCUUGCAAACUUUAGUUGCUAGGCACUGCAUUGCUUUAGGUAGCUUUAAAAUGGUUUCUUGUAACCAUCCCAUAAUGUAGACCUGACGCUCUGGAGGUGGGGGGGGACGCUGUUCAAACUGAAUGUGCUGGUU